rnacentral:rRNA from 1 species
UACGUAGGGGGCAAGCGUUGUCCGGAAUCAUUGGGCGUAAAGCGCGUGUAGGCGGCCAGGUAAGUCCGUUCUGAAAGCCCGGGGCUCAACCCCGGGAGGCGGAUGGAUACUGCUUGGCUCGAGUCCGGAAGAGGCGAGUGGAAUUCCCGGUGUAGCGGUGAAAUGCGCAGAUAUCGGGAGGAACACCAAUGGCGAAGGCGGCUUCCUGGACCGGUUCUGACACUGAGGAGCGAAAGCGUGGGGAG